rnacentral:rRNA from 1 species
CUACGGGGUGCAGCAGUCGAGAAUCUUCCGCAAUGGACGAAAGUCUGACGGAGUGACGCCGCGUGCGGGAUGAAGGCCUUCGGGUUGUAAACCGCUGUCAGUGGGGAGGAAAUGCAUCAGGGUUCUCCCUGGUGUUUGACCGAUCCGCAGAGGAAGCGCAGGCUAAGUUCGUGCCAGCAGCCGCGGUAACACGAACUGCGCGAACGUUAUUCGGAAUCACUGGGCUUAAAGAGUUCGUAGGCGGCCUUUCAAGUCGGGUGUGAAAUCCCUCGGCUCAACCGAGGAAUUGCGCCUGAUACUGUUGGGCUUGAGGGGGAUAGGGGUGAGCGGAACUGACGGUGGAGCGGUGAAAUGCGUUGAUAUCAUCGGGAACACCGGUGGCGAAGGCGGCUCACUGGAUCUCUUCUGACGCUGAGGAACGAAAGCUAGGGGAGCGAACGGGAUUAGAUACCCCAGUAGUC